CCUACGGGGGGCAGCAGUGAGGAAUAUUGGUCAAUGGACGAGAGUCUGAACCAGCCAAGUAGCGUGAAGGAUGACUGCCCUAUGGGUUGUAAACUUCUUUUAUAAAGGAAUAAAACGAGGCACGUGUGCCUUGUUGCAUGUACUUUAUGAAUAAGGAUCGGCUAACUCCGUGCCAGCAGCCGCGGUAAUACGGAGGAUCCGAGCGUUAUCCGGAUUUAUUGGGUUUAAAGGGAGCGUAGUUGGGUUGUUAAGUCAGUUGUGAAAGUUUGCGGCUCAACCGUAAAAUUGCCAUUGAUACUGGCAGUCUUGAGUACAGUUGAGGUAGGCGGAAUUCGUGGUGUAGCGGUGAAAUGCUUAGAUAUCACGAAGAACCCCGAUUGCGAAGGCAGCUUACUAAACUGUGACUGACAUUGAUGCUCGAAAGUGUGGGUAUCAAACAGGAUUAGAUACCCCAGUAGUC
rnacentral:rRNA from 1 species